CGGUAAUACCAGCUCUCCGAGUGGUGUGGACGUUUAUUGGGCCUAAAGCAUCCGUAGCUGGCUGAACAAGUCCCCUGUUAAACCCACCGAUUUAAUCGUUGGCGUGCGGGGGAUACUGCUCGGCUAGGGGACGAGAGAGGCAGACGGUAUUCCCGGGGUAGGGGUGAAAUCCUAUAAUCCCGAGAGGACCACCAGUGGCGAAGGCUGUCGG
rnacentral:rRNA from 1 species